UACAGAGGUCUCAAGCGUUGUUCGGAUUCAUUGGGCGUAAAGGGUGCGUAGGUGGCGGGGUAAGUCAGGUGUGAAAUCUCGAGGCUCAACCUCGAAACUGCACUUGAUACUGCCUUGCUCGAGUACUGGAGAGGAGAUUGGAAUUUACGGUGUAGCAGUGAAAUGCGUAGAUAUCGUAAGGAAGACCAGUGGCGAAGGCGGCCCCCUGGGCAGUAACUGACACUGAGGCGCGACAGCGUGGGGAGCAAACAGG
rnacentral:rRNA from 1 species